rnacentral:lncRNA from 10 species
UCGAAAUCCCGGUUAGAAAAUGGAACAACUAUGUUUUCACUGAAAAGGAUAUACAGAUGGCAAAUAAGCAUACGAAAAGAUGUUCAACACCACUAGCUGUCAAGGGAAUGCAAAUUACAACCAUAGUGAGCUACAGGUAUCAUUACACACCUAUCCAAAUGGCUAAAAUAAAAAACAGUCACAAUGCCAAAUGGUAGCAAGGAUGCAGAGACACUGAAUCGCUCAUGUAUUAUGGGUGGAAAUGUAAAAUGGUACAGCCACUCUGGAAAACAAUUUAGCAGUUUAUUGUAAACUGAAGCAUAUUAUUACCAUAAGACCCAGUAAUUGCACUCUUAGAAAUUUAUUUCAGAGAAAUGAAAACUAUGUUCACAAAAACCUGUAAACAAAUAUUUAUUGCAGUUCUGUUCAUAGUAUUUAAAAACUAGAAACAACCUACAUGUCCUUCGAUUUGUGAGUGGAUAGGUAAGUUGUGGUCCAUCCAUCAUGCAAUAGUAAUCAACAAUAAAAAGGAACGGGUUAGGCCAGGCGCGGUGUGGUCCAUCCAUCUUGCAAUAAUAAUCAACAAUAAAAAGGAACAGGUUAGGCCAGGCGCGGUGGCUCAUGCCUGUAAUCCCAGCACUUUGGGAGGCUGAGGUGGGCAGAUCACUUGAGGUCCAGAGUUCAAGACCAGCCUGGCCAACAUGGCAAAACCCCGACCCUACUAAAAAAAAAAUUACAAAAAUUAGCCAGGCAGCAUGGCGCACACCUGUAAUCCCAGCUACUCUGGAGGCUGAGGCGGGAGAAUCGCUUGAACCUAAGAGGCAGAAGUUUCGUGAGCCGAGAUCUCACCACUGCACCCCAGCCUGGGCAACAGAGGGAUAUUCCUUCCCACCCACCUCCAAAAAAAAAACAAAAAAAAAUGGAUCGGGUUAAUCUCUGAGGAAUUAUGCUGAGUGAAAAAUGCUGAUCCCCAAAGUUAUAUAUUGUAGUAUCCUAUUUAUAUAACAUUCUUGAAAUGAUGAAAUGAAAGAAAUGGAGAGCAGAUUAGUUGUUGCCAGAGAUGAGGAACUGUGUGAGGUGGCGGGGGCGGGCGGGGGGGGUGGGGAGCAAUGGUUAACAACACAUAGAAUCCUCAUAGAGAUGGAUCUUUUCUGUAUCUUCUUUUUCUGUUUUUUUCUUAGAAAAAAAUAGGUCUCACUACGUUGCAGGCUGCUCUCAAAAACUUCUGGCCACAAGCAAUCUUCCCACCUUGGUCUCCCAAAGUGCUGGGAUUAUAGGUAUGAGCCACCGUGCUGGCCUAUUCUGUAUCUUCACUAUGGUGGUGGAUAUAUCAACCUACAUAGGUGAUAAAAUUGCCUAGAAUUAAAUACACACACACACACACACACACACACAAGUGGGGAAAUCUGAUUAAGACUGGUGGAUUGUAUCAAUGUCAGUAUUCUCUUGUGAUCUUGUACUUUAGUUUUGCAAGGUACAAAAGAUCUCCUUGUAAUAUUUCUUACAAAUGAAUGUGAAUCUAUAAUUAUCUCAACAUAAAAAGUUUAAUUUAGUUUUUAAAAAAUGCAGUGCUCUGGGCUAACCAAUGUUCUUAAAUCAAUAUGCAACAUAAGGGAAAUUUCACCGAUGACAACGAUGACAAUGGUGGAGGUGGCAGUGCUGAUGAUGCUGUCAUUUGCUGAGCUGUCGCUGUGGGCUCCAAGAUAGCUGAGACCUUGUCUGUGUCAUUCACUACUAUAACCCAAACACUACAGCCUCCUGAACCGUUGUUUGUUAGACAGCACUAAGCAAAUAAUUGUUGAAUAAAUAAAUGAACAAUUCUGCAAGAUUUUUAUUUUUUAUUAUUAUUGCCUAUUAUCAUGUUUCGGAUGAGAAAACUGGAACUCAAAAAGUUUAAGUAGGCUGGGCGUGGUGGCUCACGCUUGUAAUCCCUGCACUUUGGGAGGCCCAGGUGGGCAGAUCACCUGAGGUCAGGAGUUAGAAACCAGCCUGGCCAACAUGGUAAAACCCUGUCUCUACUAAAAAUACAAAAAUUAGCUGGGCGAGGUGGUGCAUGCCUGUCAUCCCAGCUACUCAGGAGGCUGAGGCAGGAGGAUCGCUUGAACCUGGUGGGCGGAGAUUGCAGUGAGCCAAGAUUGUGCCACUGCACUCCAGCCUGAGCAACAGAACGGGACUCUGUCUCAAAAAAAAAAAAAAAAAAAAAGUUUCAGUAAUACCCCAACGUCAAACAACUUACAAGCAGAGAAGCCAAGAUUGACUCAUCACCAUCUGUGCUAUUAAUAACUAAUCACAGUCUCCCAAAAUGCUACCAUAGCUUCCAAUAAACCAAAACGAAUAUUCUUUAUUUUAGCAAUAAUCACUUUAACUGCCUAAUAUCUCUCAACUGAACCUCCGGAUGGUUCUUUAGUUCUUAUUUAUAGAACGGCAUCACCAGCCCUCCUCCCACGCCCUAUUGUUCUCUGAGCGUCAUUGUGAGAGUAUUAUUAGUGCUUCGUGUGUGCAGAAAAGCUAUCAAUGACUAAGGCAUUUUUAAAGCAUGUUAGCCACUUUGGCAAUGUCCAUUAAUUUCUGAGAAUACACUUAGGAAUCUCACCCUACGGGUUUGAAUUACUCCAAUUUAAGUUGACCAUGUAAACUGCAAAUAAGAUCCGGCAUGGUGGCUCAUGCCUGUAAUCCAAGCACUUUGGGAGACCAAGGUGGGAGGAUAGCUUGAGCCCAGGAAUUUGAGACCAGCCUGGGCAACAGAGUGAGACAAGAAUAAAAACUAAGAAAAGUAGCCAGGUGUAUUGACACUUGCCUGUAGUCCCAGCUACUCGGGAGGCUGAGGCAGGAAGAUCACUUGAGUGCAGGAGUUCGAGGCUGCAGUGAGCUAUGAUUGCACCAUUGCACUUUAGCCUAGGUAACAGCAUGAGAUCCUGUCUCUAAAAAAUACAAAUUAAAAAUCUGCAAAUGAGUCUAGUGUCAGGCAUGAGAGACAGUUUAAAAAUAAUAGGUCUGGCUGUUUUGGGGACAACUACUUAUAAAAUGAACACUCUUGAUGCAAAGAAUAAAAACUGGAAGAAAAUUCUCCAAAAAGUUCAAGGUCUUCAUCAUUCAGUAAUGGCUGGUGAAUUAUUUUCAUUUUCUUAUUUAUAUUUUUCUGCCUUUUCCAAAUUUUCUACUAUAAAUAUAUAUUCCUUCUAUAAAUAACAUAGUAAAAAUAAGAAGAUGAAUGGCCUAGGUCAAAAAUUUUGCAAACACUGUUUUAAAUUGCAAAAAGAAUUCAGGGCCCGGAGUGGUGGCUCACGCCUGUAAUCCCAGCACUUUGGGAGGCCUUGGCGGGCGAAUCACUUGAGUUUAGGAAUUCAAGACCAGCCUGGCCAACACGGUGAAACCCCAUCUCUUCAAAAAAUACAAAAAUUAUCUGGGCGUGGUGCUGUGUGCCUAUAAUCCCACCUACUCGGGAGGCUGAGGCAGGAGAAUCGCUUGAACAUGGGAGGUGGUGGUUGCAGAGAGCCAAGAUUGUGUCAUGUACUCCAGCCUGGGCGACAGAGUGAGACUCCGUCAAAAGAAAAGAGAAAGAAAGGAAAAGAAAAAAAACGGAAAAGAAAGGAAAGGAAAAAAGAAAAAAGAAGGAGGAGGAAAUAAGGAGGGAGGGAGGGAGGAAAGAAGGAAGGAAGGAGACAGAGAAGGACAUUCAAGAUCAAGAUAUUCUGGAAUAAACUUAUCUUAGCCCAGGUUCUCUGGAAACCAGAACCAAGGACAAGGCAUUUGUGCUUAUGCUUUACUAGGGAGAGUAAUCCCAAAAAGUAUCAGUGAAGGAAGGAGGGAAGGAGGAAGGAGAAAAGAGGAAAGAAAAAAGGGGGAAGGGGGAAAAGAGGAAGCAGAAAAGGAAGAAAGGGGAAGGAGGAAGCAGGGAAGGAAGGAAGGAGCAAGGAGGGAAGGAGGGAGAGCAAACACAAGUGCAUUGCUGAGCUCCUCACAAAACCGUGAUUUUUCUGCCUUACAGGAUGUCUCCGGAGAGGCUGACUAAACUAUAAACAGUAUCAUAAAACAGUCCACGAAGGAAGGCAGACUUCAUCCACUGACUCUUGUCUGCCAUUGACUGAAGUUUGUCUCACAGGACACCAACUCCUCGUCCCCUUAUCUGGGCGGUCUCUGCAGGCAGCCACCAGGAGACCGGAUCCCAAGCAGUGGUGGCAGCCUCCCUUGCCCACCUGCAGCCUGCAACUUCCAGGGCCUGGUGAGGUGAGCAGGAGGGCAAAUGUGGGCUCCGAGAGGUCAUGGGAGCCGAGGAGUGUCCCACAGGAGGGCAGAGAGAGGCAGGCAGCGGGCUGCUAUCCGAUGGUGAACUCCCUGGGCACCCCGGCAACCAGAAGCCAAGUGUGCAGGUGCAGCUCCACGUGCCACUCCGGGCAUCAUGAGGUGCAGAUGCAGCUCAACAGGCCUCCCUCCCAAGAAGACAGAAACGCCAUCUCUGGACAUGUGGGUUGUUAGGGGUCAUGGACAGUCCAGCCGCUCCUGCAGUCCUGCUCGGAUGGGCACUCAGUACAUGUGGUCAAUGAGGGUGGCUUUUCGGGGCUUCAGGGGAGAGUCUGAAGCCCAAGGCUCUGUGCAUCUCCGACGGGUGCGCAAUCACUUCCCGGCACCUUGUUUUCAAUGAGAAAAUAAAGUUCAUCCUGUUGUUUGCUGCAGAGAAAAUAAGAGCAAAUCUUGCAGGUAGAUUUCACUGAGAGGCAGAAAUUACGUGUGGCCUGUCGGGAUGCGCGGGGCUGCACAGGUUCACCGGUGCAGCCUCUGAUCACCCAGGGCCUCUGUGCAGCGAGCAGCAGUCACAGAGACUUGGGGCAGAUGGAGCCCUGCUGCAUGGCAGCCCCCACUGCUUACAGUUCCUUAUGUCAGCUCAGAAGACCAGGACUCAAGCGCAGGGAAUACAAUUUUCUCACAAAUAGGAGUUCUGGACACACAAACAAAACAGAAGGCGAGGGAGACUCAGUCACAUCUGUCAGGGCCAUCGUUCAGCGUGUGCUACAACUGUCCUGGUUACAGGGCUCGGGCAGGUGACUCAAUUCCCAUUUUUGUGAUUGAUGAAAUACCAUAAGGGGUUUCGGAAGAAGUUUCCAAAAGGCAAAAUCUUUUUAUUUGCAUCAUACUUUAUUUGAAGAGCCCUCCAAAGACGUCAUCUUGUACUGUCUCCAGAAGAAAAGAUGUCAGCUGGGGUUUUCCCUGGUGGGAGGACAAAGAAAUGUGGCUUGAGAAAAAACAAAAAAACUUCUGCAAAGUGACUUAGGGCUAGAGCACCCACGGUGAAUGAACGACAUGGGCCAUCAGCCUGCAGUGUCUGAUAGAACUCUCAUUGUUACACUUUGACAGAAAUUGUCCGUAUCCUUAGGCACGUUAUGUAGGCCACGGUACAUCUCCAACUUACCUGGAACUAGCCAUGAGAAUAAAGGGUGCACUCAGAAUCACUGUGCUUCGGUUUCCGCUUUCUCUUUUCUUUUCUCUUUUCUUUUUUUUUGUUGUUGAGACGGAGUCUCGCUCUGUUGCCCAGGCUGGAGUGCAGUGGUGUGAUCUCAGCUCACUGCAACCUCUGCCUCCCAGGUUCAAGUGAUUCUCCUGCCUCAGCCUCCCGAGUAGCUGCGACUACAGGCGUGCACCACCACGCCCAGCUAAUUUUUGUAUUUUUAGUAGAGACGGAGUUUCACCAUGUUGGCCAGGAUGGUCUCGAUCUCUUGACCUCAUCAUCUGCCCACCUCGGCCUCCCAAAGUGCUGGGAUUAAAGGCAUGAGCCAAUUUCUGCUUUCAAAAGCACCAGGACUUUGCUGUCGUGGGACUUGGAAGCUUCCAGGUAUUAGGGCAUUAGAUAUGAUUACGGCCAGUGCUUUUACGGGCAUUCAUAUGGGCCCAUUAUUUAUUUAUUUAUUGAAACAGGGUCUCAUUCUGUCGCCCAGGCUAGAGUGCAGCGGCAUGAUCUCAGCUCACUGCAACAUCCGCCCCCCCCGGGUUCAAGCAAUUCUGCCUCAGCCUCCCCAGUACCUGGGAUUACAGGCAUGUGCCAUGACGCCUGGCUAAUUUUUGUAUUUUUAGAAGGCAUGGGGUUUCACUAUGCUGGUCAGGCUGGUCUUGAAUUCCUGACCUCAGGUGGUCCACCCCUCUUGGCCUCCCAA